UAGGGAAUCUUCGGCAAUGGACGAAAGUCUGACCGAGCAACGCCGCGUGAGUGAAGAAGGUUUUCGGAUCGUAAAACUCUGUUGUUAGAGAAGAACAAGGACGUUAGUAACUGAACGUCCCCUGACGGUAUCUAACCAGAAAGCCACGGCUAACUACGUGCCAGCAGCCGCGGUAAUACGUAGGUGGCAAGCGUUGUCCGGAUUUAUUGGGCGUAAAGCGAGCGCAGGCGGUUUCUUAAGUCUGAUGUGAAAGCCCCCGGCUCAACCGGGGAGGGUCAUUGGAAACUGGGAGACUUGAGUGCAGAAGAGGAGAGUGGAAUUCCAUGUGUAGCGGUGAAAUGCGUAGGUAUAUGGAUGAACACCAGUGGCGAAGGCGGCUCUCUGGUCUGUAACUGACGCUGAGGCUCGAAAGCGUGGGGAGCAAACAGG
rnacentral:rRNA from 1 species